UACGUACGGUGCAAGCGUUAUCCGGAUUUACUGGGUGUAAAGGGAGCGCAGGCGGCACGGCAAGCCUGAUGUGAAAGCCCGCGGCCCAACCGCGGGACUGCAUUGGGAACUACCGGGCUGGAGUGCCGGAGAGGUAGGCGGAAUUCCUAGUGUAGCGGUGAAAUGCGUAGAUAUUAGGAGGAACGCCAGUGGCGAAGGCGGCCUACUGGACGGUGACUGACGCUGAGGCUCGAAAGCGUGGGGAGCAAACAGG
rnacentral:rRNA from 1 species